rnacentral:lncRNA from 1 species
UUUGGGUAUAAUUUUUUAUCAUUUAGGGUGCGUUUGGUUUGCAUUAUGAAAGAUUACUAGGAAUAAAAUAUAUCCGAGAAUCUUAUUCCUAUUCAUUCUAUUACUAAGAAUGUGAAAUUUCUGUGUUUGGUUCGCACGGUAAUAUUAACUAGCCAUAUUAUUUAAUAUUAUAAAAAUUAUACUAUUUAUUUAUUUAUUUAUAUAUAUAUAUAUAUAUAU